AAGUCGUAACAAGGUAUCCGUAGGUGAACCUGCGGAUGGAUCAUUAACACAAACCCUAAACACACUGGUUUCAUCAUUUCAAUUCUGAAGUGGUGUCUCCUUUUAAAACCAAACCUAGUGAACCUGUCAACGCCGUAAGUACGGGGUGAUUCCUGCAGGCGUUCGUUUUACCUCUCCAUCCUUUUUCAAUUAUAGUUCACCCAACCCCAAAUCCUUCAUUGUAAGGUGAAAAUAUUUCUGACUGAGAAAACAAAUGUGUUGCGACCCAGCACAAUAAAUACUAACAUAUUAUACAACUCUUAACAACGGAUAUCUCGGCUCUCGUAACGAUGAAAAACGCAGC
rnacentral:misc_RNA from 1 species